rnacentral:lncRNA from 1 species
GGGGUUAGGUUGAAAUGCUGAGAUAUUUAUUUCCCAGAUAUGGAAAAGAAUUGGUGCGAAGUAAGGAGAGACGUGACGAGGAGGGUGCGGUGGGCAGUCUGAGUCCUGGAGAUACAAUGCCACCUCUCUGGAUUUUCAGGGAAAUCAGUGAUGUUUUGUAACCAGGCAGACAAAACUUCAUGGAAGUGUGUCACACUCAGCUGGGGACAAAACCACAAGCAAUGAUCAGAACUUGGAUAUGUCCUCUUUGAGGACCAGCAGGGGAAUUAUCUAGAAAACACUGAUGAGGAUCAGAUGGUGCCACUGGUGCAUUCCAACCAACAUUUGAAGAAGAAUUAACAGCAAUGCAUCUUCAUUCCAUCAUUCAUCCUGUGAAACCAGCCUUAACCUGAAUCGGAGUCCUGAAAAAGAUAUCUCGGGAAAGUCAAGCUACCGGCCAGUCUCUGUUGGGAAUAUAGACUUGAAGGUUCCCAGCAUAGUUCUAAUGGAUAAAAUUCAGCAGCACAUUAAAAGGGUUAUACACCAUGACCAAGUGGGUUUAUCCCCAAAGGCAAAGUUGGUUCUAUAUACACAAGUGGGAACUCAAAUGCUACUGUACACGAUGCUCACAACAGCGUUAAUAAGAAUAGCCCGAAGUUAGAAGCAGUCUGCUCACCAGCGGGUAAGGCGAUUUGAAGAUUGGUGCAUCAAUACAAGGGAAGAGCCAUCAGUCACAAGAAGGAAUGAAAUUCUGAAACAUGCUAUGACACUGUAGACAGCACCGUGCUGAGUGAAACAAACUGGACACCGAAGGACAGAUGCGGUAAGAUGGUCCUGUCCUUGUUAAAUUUUGUCACUUGAUGAAAGCUAGAGUCAUCUGGGAAGAUGGAACCUCAGUUGAGGAAAUGCCCCAAUUAGAUCAGCCUCUAGGCAAGUUUGAGGGGCACUUUCUUGGUUAAUGAUUGAUUUGGGAGGGCCCAGCCCACUACGGGCAGUGCCACCCUUAGGCACAUUGUUAUGG